rnacentral:rRNA from 1 species
GCUCAGGAUGAACGCUGGCGGCGUGCCUAAUACAUGCAAGUCGAGCGAACAGAUGAGAAGCUUGCUUCUCUGAUGUUAGCGGCGGACGGGUGAGUAACACGUGGGUAACCUACCUAUAAGACUGGGAUAACUCCGGGAAACCGGGGCUAAUACCUGAUAAUAUUUUGAACCGCAUGGUUCGAUAGUGAAAGGCGGCUUCGGCUGUCACUUAUAGAUGGACCCGCGCCGUAUUAGCUAGUUGGUAAGGUAAUGGCUUACCAAGGCGACGAUACGUAGCCGACCUGAGAGGGUGAUCGGCCACACUGGAACUGAGACACGGUCCAGACUCCUACGGGAGGCAGCAGUAGGGAAUCUUCCGCAAUGGGCGAAAGCCUGACGGAGCAACGCCGCGUGAGUGAUGAAGGUUUUCGGAUCGUAAAACUCUGUUGUUAGGGAAGAACAAAUUUGUUAGUAACUGAACAAGUCUGACGGUACC